GAUGAAGAACGCAGCGAAAUGCGAUACGUAAUGUGAAUUGCAGAAUUCAGUGAAUCAUCGAAUUUUUGAACGCACAUUGCGCCCGCUAGUAUUCUGGCGGGCAUGCCUGUCCGAGCGUCAUUUCAACCCAUCAAGCUUAGCGCUUGUGUUGGAGCCCUGCGGCCGCCGCAGCCUCCUAAAAUCAGUGGCGGGCUCGCUAUCACGCUGAGUGCAGUAGUAUUCUUCUCACUCCUGUGGUGUAGCGGGUAACCAGCCGUAAACCCCCCCAUCUAUAAAGGUUGACCUCGGAUCAGGUAGGAAUACCCGCUGAACUUAAGCAUAUCAAUAAGCGGAGGA
rnacentral:misc_RNA from 1 species